UACGUAGGGUGCGAGCGUUUAAUCGGAAUUACUGGGCGUAAAGUGUGCGCAGGCGGCCGAGCAAGUCGAGUGUGAAAGCCCCGGGCUUAACCUGGGAACUGCGCUCGAAACUACUUGGCUGGAGUGUGGCAGAGGGAGGUGGAAUUCCACGUGUAGCGGUGAAAUGCGUAGAGAUGUGGAGGAACACCGAUGGCGAAGGCAGCCUCCUGGGCCAACACUGACGCUCAUGCACGAAAGCGUGGGGAGCAAACAGG
rnacentral:rRNA from 1 species